rnacentral:lncRNA from 1 species
AUGAGUGAUGUUAUUCCACUCGAAGGAAGUGAUGACUCAGAUGAUUCCAAUCCAAUUGAAACAAUUCAAGUUAUCAAGAAUGCUACAAAGAAAUGGAAAAUGAGAGUACCUGAGCAAUUGAAUAAAAAACAGCAAGAUAAGAAAGGAAGAAAAAUUGGAGGUGUUGAAAAACUAGAUGGCCAAAUUGACCACAUUGUUGGUGUAGUUGAGAGUAGGAGCACAGCAACAUCAUUGAUGAUGAAAAUGCAAUUGGGCAGUAGUAUUCCUGAAGUGAUGGAAGUUGUAUCAUCUUUACCUGGAUGUGAACCUACUAGCACUUCAUGGAUGUUUGCGACUCGAUUGUUUUUGAAUCAAGAGAAGCGAGAGAUGUUUUCUACCAUGAAGACUCCUAAUGUCAAGUUUGCAUGGCUAAUUUAUGAAUUUAACAACCAAUA